GGGUUGUGAGGUUAAGCGACUAAGCGUACACGGUGGAUGCCCUGGCAGUCAGAGGCGAUGAAGGGCGUGCUAAUCUGCGAUAAGCGCCGGUAAGGUGAUAUGAACCGUUAUAACCGGCGAUACCCGAAUGGGGAAACCCAGUGUGACUCGUCACACUAUCAUUAACUGAAUCCAUAGGUUAAUGAGGCGAACCGGGGGAACUGAAACAUCUAAGUACCCCGAGGAAAAGAAAUCAACCGAGAUUCCCCCAGUAGCGGCGAGCGAACGGGGAGGAGCCCAGAGCCUGAAUCAGCAUGUGUGUUAGUGGAAGCGUCUGGAAAGGCGCGCGAUACAGGGUGACAGCCCCGUACACAAAAGCGCAUGUGCUGUGAGCUCGAUGAGUAGGGCGGGACACGUGGUAUCCUGUCUGAAUAUGGGGGGACCAUCCUCCAAGGCUAAAUACUCCUGACUGACCGAUAGUGAACCAGUACCGUGAGGGAAAGGCGAAAAGAACCCCGGCGAGGGGAGUGAAAAAGAACCUGAAACCGUGUACGUACAAGCAGUGGGAGCCCCACCACUAAGCCAGUGGUGAACUCCACAUACGCAUCCUUUGCUGAAGGCAAUGGUUAACGGAGCGAAAGCGACGUUCAACCGCAAAACAAGCAGAGGGGGCUUAGUGGUGGGGUGACUGCGUACCUUUUGUAUAAUGGGUCAGCGACUUAUAUUCUGUAGCAAGGUUAACCGUAUAGGGGAGCCGGAGGGAAACCGAGUCUUAAUUGGGCGUUAAGUUGCAGGGUAUAGACCCGAAACCCGGUGAUCUAGCCAUGGGCAGGUUGAAGGUUGGGUAACACUAACUGGAGGACCGAACCGACUAAUGUUGAAAAAUUAGCGGAUGACCUGUGGCUGGGGGUGAAAGGCCAAUCAAACCGGGAGAUAGCUGGUUCUCCCCGAAAGCUAUUUAGGUAGCGCCUCGUGAAUUCAUCUCCGGGGGUAGAGCACUGUUUCGGCUAGGGGGCCAUCCCGGCUUACCAACCCGAUGCAAACUGCGAAUACCGGAGAAUGUUAUCACGGGAGACACACGGCGGGUGCUAACGUCCGUCGUGAAGAGGGAAACAACCCAGACCGCCAGCUAAGGUCCCAAAGUCAUGGUUAAGUGGGAAACGAUGUGGGAAGGCCCAGACAGCCAGGAUGUUGGCUUAGAAGCAGCCAUCAUUUAAAGAAAGCGUAAUAGCUCACUGGUCGAGUCGGCCUGCGCGGAAGAUGUAACGGGGCUAAACCAUGCACCGAAGCUGCGGCAGCGACACUCAGGUGUUGUUGGGUAGGGGAGCGUUCUGUAAGCCUGUGAAGGUGUGUCGUGAGGCAUGCUGGAGGUAUCAGAAGUGCGAAUGCUGACAUAAGUAACGAUAAAGCGGGUGAAAAGCCCGCUCGCCGGAAGACCAAGGGUUCCUGUCCAACGUUAAUCGGGGCAGGGUGAGUCGACCCCUAAGGCGAGGCCGAAAGGCGUAGUCGAUGGGAAAC
rnacentral:rRNA from 1 species